CGGUGUCAAAGAGGCGGCUGCUGUGACGGCCACGUAGCCUGCUGAAUAUUGCUGUACAAAUUAGCCCAGCCUGAGGCAGUCAAUGGGAUUGGAAAGAAAGCGAGAAAAACAGCAUUUAAAACCAAAAUCAAUAUUCUGAGCUGGGGACCUAAUUAGUCAACAGGACUGUAAGCUGCCGCUUCAGAGCAGGCGGCUGCACGGAUCUGCUAAAAUUGAAGCUCUUCUGUGGGCCAGGUUCUAACAAUCCUCUGGCUAUUGCUGGCGUGAUGCUAGCCAAGCUGGCAGCGCCUGGCAGAAAGGAAAUACCCCGACAACUGGCAGCUCCUUUGGCACUUGUGUCAGAGAGGCUGCGGGCUGCAUGAGCGCAGACGUGGUGCGCUUUGUCAUAGCAGAGCGGGCUGUCAAGGUCAGAGAUGGGAUGCCUGUGCUGAUAGCUCUUGCUGGAGACUUGGCAGUCAACCUUGCGGCAACGCAAAUACCUGAGAGCUCGGAACAGAUGCAAAUUAAAGCCUUUAUCCGUGUGGUCCUCUUAGGGCUAUGGUAAACCUGCAGUUUGAAGCUUGAUAAAAGAAAAAGGCUGCUCCAAACAUUCAGGAGCAGAAAACUUAGUGAGCAGAUCACGCUGUGUGAUUAACACCAAUUUGCAAGCAUACACUGUAUUUUUGCUUAAAAGCUUUUAUGUUGGGGCAACACAAGAACAGGGAAACAUUGCUGCUGUUGGAUUCCAUAGGGCUGCAGAACGGUGCCUAAUGCCUCUAGAGCAAGGGCUCACCCUGCGCACAGGUGCUGUCAUUUAUUGGAUGAUUUGGAUUUGCAGAGCUCAGCUGCAGAGAGUAAGGGGCAGGGGUGUGGUGAAGGGACAGCUGGGAGAAGUGAUCCAGGAGGAGUGAUACAAGGGAGACAUGGCCUUGGGAAGUUGGUCUGUGCUGGGGCCGUGUGCCUGUAACUCAGAUGAGUGUAUGCAGUGACACUCCUGAGCUCCAGUGUUUUACCAGCAACAAACUAUUUCCGGAGUCACAGGUGACAUCAGGAGACGAAACCUGGAGGACGUGAAGAGAUUCUGGGGGAGCAGAAAACACAGAAGAGCUCCAGCACCGGCCCAGGGCCGGAGCCGGGCAUGAGACAGCAGCCCCAAGCCCCCAGGAGCAGAUCGCUGAAGUCGGAGGGUUUCGCUGCCCGUGGUACCUCCAUAAGUACACCGCCGGCCCGGAGGCAGCUCGGCAGCUAACGAGGGAAGUCACAGCGGCGGGGACCGUCCCACCGCCUCAGGCGGCAGCAGCAGAGGCAAAGCCUUGCGCUCGCUACCGAGAAUUACAGAGAGGAGGUAACGGCGAACUCACGGCCCGGGCCUGGCCCCAAGGCUCCUCGUCAGCCCGCGGCAGCGCCAGGCCGGGCCCU